rnacentral:rRNA from 1 species
AAAUUGAAGAGUUUGAUCAUGGCUCAGAUUGAACGCUGGCGGCAGGCUUAACACAUGCAAGUCGAACGGUAACAGGAAGAAGCUUGCU